GUUUGGGGAGGCGGCGGCAAGGGAGGUCAGCGUCUUGACCCUGAAGGCGUCGCGCUGGAGGCGGAGGUUGAAGAGUUGGGUAGGGGUUUUGUUAAGCGCCACGGCGUCGAUGUGGUGUAACUGUACGGACAGGGUGUUUGGGGUUGGGGUGGUGGUGGCGGAGGGGGAGUUGGGGUCGAGUUGGGCGGUUUCGGAUUCGGAGACGGUGUCUGUCCAUGAGAGGGUGGUAGGUGGGGUGGGGAGGGGGUUGAGGAGGAGGGUCUGGUGGUCGAGGGCGGAGGAGAGGGAGAGGAAUAUGGCGGCGAGGGAAAGGAAGAAAAGGGGAAGUGUUGCUUUCCGUUCCAUUUUAGAGAAGUUGUGGAG
rnacentral:lncRNA from 1 species